GUAGGAGUGAGCCUGCUCGCGAUGGCGUCGGGUCAGUCAAAUCAUUUGUAGCUGAUAGAUCGCUAUCGCGAGCAGGCUCACUCCUAC
rnacentral:antisense_RNA from 1 species